rnacentral:rRNA from 1 species
CCUACGGGGGACAGCAGUGGGGAAUAUUGCACAAUGGGCGAAAGCCUGAUGCAGCAACGCCGCGUGAAGGAAGAAGGCCUUCGGGUCGUAAACUUCUGUCCUUGGGGAAGAAGAACUGACGGUACCCAAGGAGGAAGCCCCGGCUAACUACGUGCCAGCAGCCGCGGUAAUACGUAGGGGGCAAGCGUUAUCCGGAAUUAUUGGGCGUAAAGAGUACGUAGGUGGCAACCUAAGCGCAGGGUUUAAGGCAAUGGCUCAACCAUUGUUCGCCCUGCGAACUGGGAUGCUUGAGUGCAGGAGAGGAAAGCGGAAUUCCUAGUGUAGCGGUGAAAUGCGUAGAUAUUUGGAGGAACACCAGUGGCGAAGGCGACGAUCUGGCCUGCAACUGACGCUCAGUCCCGAAAGCGUGGGGAGCAAAUAGGAUUAGAUACCCUUGUAGUC